AUUGAACGCUGGCGGCAGGCUUAACACAUGCAAGUCGAACGAGCGGCGGACGGGUGAGUAAUGUCUGGGAAACUGCCUGAUGGAGGGGGAUAACUACUGGAAACGGUAGCUAAUACCGCAUACCAUCAGAUGUGCCCAGAUGGGAUUAGCUAGUAGGUGUGGUAACGGCUCACCUAGGCGACGAUCCCUAGCUGGUCUGAGAGGAUGAACCGCCACACUGGAACUGAGAAACGGGCCAGACUCCUACGGGAGGCAGCAGUGGGGAAUAUUGCACAAGGGGCGCAAGCCUGAUGCAGCCAUGCCGCGUGUGUGAAGAAGGCCUUCGGGUUGUAAAGUACUUUCAGCGGGGAGGCGUUACUCGCAGAAGAAGCACCGGCUAACUCCGUGCCAGCAGCCGCGGUAAUUC
rnacentral:rRNA from 1 species